rnacentral:tRNA from 1 species
GAAGGUACAGCUUAGUGGUCAUAGCGUUUGAACUGUUUCCAAGAAGCGCGGGUUCAAAUCACGCUACGUUAA